CAGGAAAUGCAUGAACAGCUUAGCAUAUCUCAAAAGAAUAGCAGGAUAUUUGAAUCAAUCUGAACAAAAUAUUCUUACCAUAAUCAAUUCGAUUUGCUUCAGAGGUCUGCGUUGGCACAUAUGUUUUUAGAUUUACAGUUUGAUAAACAACAAAAGAACAGCCUCCUGCACCAAAAAAAUUCAGUAUUUAAGAACGUCUUAACAACAUUAAAACCUACAGAUGUAUUAAUCAAGUAGCAAACAAGAAUUUGCCUUUUCUUUUCCAUUUGUCUAAGCAGACUUACAAAAAUGAUAACUCGAGGUCUCGAGCACUGAUUACAGAAUGGAGCAGUAUUAAAGUAAUAUUAUGGGCUAAACCAUUAUAGAAUAUAUCCUUCAUGAACGACUUUGGAACCAUAUGAAACUAGUGAACAGGAAGUAGUUCCAGGAAUGUUAAGACACAGAAGAGGACAUAGAAAGCAUACCCACUUUGGCAGUCUUGGUCACAAGCAACUUAGGAUCUAUAGAAGGUGGGUACAGGAACAAGAAAUGUGUCAUCUUCAAAGUGUCUCCUAGUAAGAUAAACAUCUUGAUAGUUGAUAGUAUUAAGGACAACUAUAGUGUGGACAUGUUAAUAAAACUGCCAUAUCCAGCAUCAAAGAAGUACGUUAGUAUUUCCAUUGUUGCUAUGCCUGAUUUAGAAGCUGUAACCAUGGCAACCUAAUUAAUUGAGUAAUAAGAAACUAGCACUAGAAGAGGAAUUUGUUGUUCCACGCUCACUGAAUGAAAUGAGAAGCCAUAGUGCAUCAUGCCAACUUGAAAUGCAACCAUGUUUUAAACACAUCAUUGGAAUAUACAACUAAUUGCUCUCCUGUACUGUCUUCUGCUUCAAACAAGGACUAACAUGCUACAACAGGGUUUCACAUCUAGUUAGUUGGAUGGGGCACCAAUCUUGACUGCAAUCGCAACACAAAAGACACAGAAAGUUGUGGCAUACAGUGAACCGCGAUGACAUGACGUGUUAGGAUGUGAUACUUUGCUGAGAGACUGUAUAUGAAACUAAAUCUGGCAAAGGUGCAUAUCAUUCAUAUCAUGGGAACGAUAAAUUAAGUCAAAGGUUGAACAGAAUAAUGGUAGGUAUGGAUACUUCGCUUAACAGGUACACAUAGUAGCCUAGCCCCCAUGCUUUCAGUGCAGGGGAAGUCCUCAUGGCGUCACCUUGCCCAUCAAUUCGUCAAAAAUGUUCUCAACCUGCUGCGGUGCAUGCAAAAUUAGAGGAUAGACAUGAAGGUAAAAUAUUACUACUAGCCUACUAGGCCAGCCAUAUUGGAAUAAUUUAAAACUACUUAGUAGGUCUACUAUAAGAAACACAAGCUAUCAGGACAAAAUUCUAUCAUUCUUUGGACAAGGAACUGUAAGAACCCUCACCUUGUGUACAUUGGUCUUGCGUGCUGAAGAAGAGGAGGAAGAGCGCCGGACAAGUCCACAGCGGCCUGAAUCGAACGAAUUGGGCUUCGAAGGUGGAGCAAAACCAACUCUUCUCUCACGGGGGCUUAGUGACUCGACCACCACUCCGCUCCACUGGGAGUGCGACGAGGGAGGGGAGCGGCGCGCGGAGGAGCAUGGGUGGUGGUGGCGGCGGAACCGGCCGGCGGCCGCCACUGGGACGAGGGAGGGAUGGGGCUCGAAUGGGGUGGCUUGGCUGAAUCAAUGCGAGGAGAGGAGGUGGGAGGGAGAAAGGAGGAGAGAAUCUGGGAGAAGGCCGCAGGCCCGCAGCGCGGCGUGGCAGAGCUCGCCGGCGCCGGCGGGCGAAAAUGGGGAGUGGUGGCUCCACACGUACGUGGC
rnacentral:lncRNA from 1 species